UCCACCCCUCCCCCUGCCCCUAGCCGCCCCCAUGUUCUGGACACCAUCCCCCCCAUCUCCAUGGGAGCCACCGGCUCACAGAGAGUCAGUAUCCUGUGGCCAUACCACCAGCUGGCAGCCAUGGGCCACCAUGCUUCUCUCUGCCAUCGCCGCCAGCAUCUGACCGACGGUGACAAGGACAUGACGGUGAGGUGGCUGGGAUGGCAGUAGGGUGGACGAGGGCAGGUGGGGGGUGAGGCUUGCUGUGGGGCCACCCACCAUCACCUCACCCCCAUCCCCUCCCCGCAGCCCAAGUGAACCCACAGCAGCCUGAAGGAUGCUACUGCACAUCAUUUCCUUCCUGACGCUGCCCAACCUGCUGAGACUGGGCCAGACCUGCCGCUACCUCCAUGAGGUGUGUGACAGCGAGGCCACCUAGCGCCCCCUCUGCACCCCUCUCCCCCCUGCCGCUGCCAGCGCCCGGCCCUGCAAGAGGGUCACCAUCGUCAACCAUGAGUCCCUGCCAUUGCCAAGGGAGAGGGGGGGGUGGCACUUUGUCCCUCAGCCUCAUUUUUAGAGUCCAAAGCUUUGAUUCUAAGGUUGAAAGCCUUCCUUUUAGGUCCCAAAGACUCAUUUUUUGGGUACAAACCCUCAUUUGAGUUCCAACCCCUCCUUUUAAGGUUCAAAGACUCAUUUUAAGGGCCCAGAGUGUCCUUUUUAAGGCCAAAGUCUGCUUUUGAAGGUCCAAAUCUUCGGUUUUAGAGGCCAAGGCCUUAUUUAUAGGGUCCAAAGGCUCAUUUUUAGCUUCCAAAGCCUCCAUUUCAGGGACCAAAGCCUCAUUUUUAAGACUCAGUAUGCAAUUUCAAUGGCCCAAAGCCUCAUUUGGAGCCUCCAAACACCCAUUUUUAGGGUGCAGAGCCUCAGUGUUUGGUACUGAAGCAUCAUUUUGGGGCACAAAACCUAAUCUCGGGGUUCAAAGCCUCAAUUCCAUUUCCAAAGGCCUAUUUUUAAGGCCUAAAACCAAGGAUUUUGACCCUAAAACAGGGCUUUGGUCCCUACAGAUGGGUCUUUGAACGCUCAAUAUAUGCCUUGGACGUGAAGCACAUGAGGCUUAGAGCCUUAAUUGAGGAGUUUGUACCCUAAAAUGAGGGUUGGGACCCUACAAUUGAAGUCUUUCAACCCUAGAAAGCUUUGGACCCUAAAAAUGAGGCUUUGGGACCUAAGCCUGAGGCUUUGAGCCCUAAAAGUGGGCUUUGGACCCUCCAAAUGAGGGUUUAGACACUCCAGAUGCAGCUUGGACCCUAAAAAUGCCUGUCUGGAUCCUAAAAAAAGAGGCUUUGGUCCCUGAAAAUGACACUAUGCAAACUAACACUGAGCCUUUGCACCCUAAAAAUGAGGGUUUGGGGGCCUAAAAUGAGGCUUUGGAAGGCAAAACUAAGACUUUUGGAAAGUAAAAAUGAGGCUUUGGACCCUAGAAAUUCGGUUUUGGACUCUACAAAUGAAGCUUUGGUCCUUCCAAAUCAGACUUUGGGGCUGAAAAAUAAUACUCUGGGGCCUUAAAAUGAGUCUUUGAACCUUAAAAACAGACCUUGGAACUAAUAAAUUAGUUUUUGUACUCCAUAUAUGUGGGUCUGGACCUUAAAAAUGACUGUGUGCACCCCCAAAAGUAGGCUUUGGUCUUUUAAAUUUAUGCUUUUUGCCCUAACAUUGAGACUUACGUUAUAAAAAUAAGGGUUUACACUUGAAAAACUCAGGGUUGAAUUUUAAAAAUGAUGCUUUGUGCUUUGAAAAUGAUCAUUUCAAAGGCAGGCUGUCCCCCUGCAGCCCAUGGAGGUCCACGGUGGAGCAGAUAUCCACCUGCAGCCCGUGGAGGACCCCAUGCCAGAGCAGGUGGGUGCCUGAAGGAGGCUGUGACCCCAGGGGAAGCCCACACCGGAGCAGGUUUGCUGGCAGGACUUGUGACCCCACGGGGGACCCUCGCUGCAGCAGUCUGUGCCUGAAGGACUGCACGCUGUGGAAGGGACCCACACUGGAGCAGUUUGUGAAGAACUGCAGCCCGUGGAAAGGACCCACGUUGGAGAAGUUCAUGGAGGACUGUCUCCCGUGGAAGGGACCCCAUGCUGGAGCAGGGGAAGAGUGAGGAGUCCUCCCCCGGAGAAGGAAGGAGCAGCAGAGACUACUGUGUGAUGAACUGACCCCAACCCUCAUUCCCCAUCCCCCUGUGCCGCUGGGGGGGAGGAAGGAGAGAAUUCAGGAGUGAAUCUGUGCCUGGGAAGAAGGGAAGGGUGGGGGGAAGGUGUUUUUAAGAUUUGGUUUUAUUUCUCAUUACCCUAUUCUGAUCUGGUUGGCAAUAAAUUAAUUUCCCCAGGUUGAGUCCGUUUUGCCCGUGACAGUAA